rnacentral:rRNA from 1 species
UACGGAGGGUGCAAGCGUUAAUCGGAAUUACUGGGCGUAAAGCGUGCGUAGGCGGUUAUUUAAGUCAGGUGUGAAAGCCCCGGGCUCAACCUGGGAAUUGCAUUUGAGACUGAAUAGCUAGGGUGCGGAAGAGGGAAGCGGAAUUUCCGGUGUAGCGGUGAAAUGCGUAGAUAUCGGAAGGAACACCAGUGGCGAAAGCGGCUUUCUGGUCCAGAACCGACGCUCAGGCACGAAAGCGUGGGGAGCAAACAGG